rnacentral:rRNA from 1 species
AUUGAACGCUGGCGGCAGGCCUAACACAUGCAAGUCGAACGAGUGGCGGACGGGUGAGUAAUGUCUGGGAAACUGCCCGAUGGAGGGGGAUAACUACUGGAAACGGUAGCUAAUACCGCAUACCAUCGGAUGUGCCCAGAUGGGAUUAGCUAGUAGGUGGGGUAACGGCUCACCUAGGCGACGAUCCCUAGCUGGUCUGAGAGGAUGACCGGCCACACGGGAACUGAGACACGGUCCAGACUCCUACGGGAGGCAGCAGUGGGGAAAAUGGAGCAAUGGGCGAAAGCCUGAUGAAGCCAGGCCGCGUGUAUGAAGAAGGCCUUCGGGUUGUAAAGUACUUUCAGCGUGGUGGCGUUACUCGCAGAAGAAGCGCCGGCUAACUCCGUGCCAGCAGCCGCGGUAAUUC